CCCACUAUGACUUAUGGAAAGGGCCAGCCU
rnacentral:piRNA from 1 species